CACGGAGGCCCCGAGCGUUGUUCGGAUUUACUGGGCGUAAGCGUGCGUAGGCGGUUGGGUAAGUCAGAUGUGAAAGCCCGGGGCUCAACCUCGGAACUGCAUCCGAUACUGCCCGACUAGAGGGUUGGAGAGGAGACUGGAAUUCACGGUGUAGCAGUGAAAUGCGUGGAUAUCGUGAGGAAGACUAAAGGCGAAGGCGGGUCUCUGGACAGUUCCUGACACUGAGGUACGAAGGCCAGGGGAGCAAACGGG
rnacentral:rRNA from 1 species